rnacentral:rRNA from 1 species
CACGUAGGGUGCGAGCGUUUGUCCGGAAUUAUUGGGCGUAAAGAGCUCGUAGGCGGUGUGUCGCGUCGGCCGUGAAAACCUGCAGCUUAACUGUGGGCGUGCGGUCGAUACGGGCAUCACUGGAGUUCGGCAGGGGAGACUGGAAUUCCUGGUGUAGCGGUGAAAUGCGCAGAUAUUAGGAGGAACACCGGUGGCGAAGGCGGGUCUCUGGGCCGAUACUGACGCUGAGGAGCGAAAGCGUGGGGAGCAAACAGG